rnacentral:rRNA from 1 species
CCUACGGGUGGCUGCAGUAGGGAAUAUUGGUCAAUGGGGGCAACCCUGAACCAGCCAUGCCGCGUGCAGGAUUAAGGCCCUAUGGGUCGUAAACUGCUUUUGUACGGGAAGAAAUCACAUUACGUGUAAUGUGUUGACGGUACCGUGAGAAUAAGGAUCGGCUAACUUCGUGCCAGCAGCCGCGGUAAUACGAAGGAUCCAAGCGUUGUCCGGAUUUACUGGGUUUAAAGGGUGCGUAGGCGGACUAUUAAGUCAGUGGUGAAAGCUUGCAGCUU